AGCCAUAUCACAUUUAAACACCGCUUCCAGUACGAUCACUGAAGUUAAACAACGUCGAGCCAGGUUAGCAUAUGGAUGGGUGACCGCUUGAGAAUAACAGGUGCUGUA